AUCACUUCUUGGCCUUUUGGCUAAGAUCAAGUGUAGUAAGCCAGGAGACUUGAAUGAUGGCUGGUAUAUGCACAACUGUCUCAUCAGGCAGCUUUUUAUUGUUUUCUUAGUAAAAAGACCAAUAAAAGUGAUUAGAUCCAUUUUUAUCCACCAGUGGUACAAGCCACCUGAU
rnacentral:snRNA from 1 species